UAAUUAGCGAUAAUGUACGGAGAUGGUUUCGUAGCCUCUUUAACAGCUCAGUGACAUCAGUCACAAUUUGAAAAGGAACUUUGGAUAUCUUACCAUGGCCUUCAAGUGAGCCACAUCAAUGCUUCCAUCUUUAUCCACCUCUACCACCUGAACCUUCAUACCAGCCAUCUGGGCACUUGCAGGAUUAGUACCAUGGGCUGAUUUAGGGAUCAGGCAUACCUGAGAACAACAUCAAAAAUCAGCUGACCAAAAGGACUGGGGCCGCAACUAAUGAUCCAUUUUCAUAGUUGAUUAAUCUGUCGCUUAUCCUCUUGAAGAGCAACUUGCAGGUUGAUUUCAAAACUGAAUUACUUCAUCUUAUAUGACAACGUAUUUUUAAAAAUGUAUAUAUGUACGAAUUAAUAUAUGUUAGUAUAAUAUAUGUUGCUACGUUCAUAUUACCGUUUACAUGUCACACAGCAUAUUCUGAUUUAUAACGACUUUAUCAAAGUUAUAAACGUUCCAAUGUUUCCAUUGUGUGCGUUCAGAUAUCUGUAAGUAUUGUUACAUUGUGUUUGUUACAUACCGUAAAACUUUAAAUUAAAGCUGAGUCCCAAAUAGAAGCCUGUCUACAUGCCUGGUGUGGUUACAGGUUUGGAUAAAUAAAAAAUAGAGGCCUGGUCUGUUUUUAUUUUCAGGUUAUACUUUAUCUCCUAAAACCAGCCAGAUAGUCUAUUUAAACCAGUUCUAUGGUGCAGAUCGUGCAUGUUAAAGUUCUGAUUAGAUGGCAUUAAGACUACCAGAGGUCCAAAUUGUUCAAAAUUUUUUUUUUAUAUAUGGACUAGGCCUAUGCUAUCCUACAUCGUUAAAUUCAUCCCAUUUUGUUUUCAAAUUUGCAUAUUAAACAAAAUAUUGCAUCUUGUUAUGACAAGGAUAGGCCGAUGCUAAGCCUAUACCCUAGGCUACGGAUUUAUUACGCUGGCAACAAAACAAAAAGGUUCACACACGUUCUUUUUCAUCAGUCCUGGCUCUCCGUGUUAUGUCUGUUAUCUCUAACACUCAAUGAACAUCAACACUAAAUGAAUGAUCCGCAAUUGUAGCCCAUCACUGGAUAGCCUAGUAAUAGGUUAUGGGAAAGCAUUCAGUGGGUUUGAAAUAAUGAAUAGCAGAGGAAAAGUUGUGUGUGAAAGGAAUUCAAUUUCUUUCUCAUUAUAGAAGCCCGUCUCAAAUACAAGCUGGUGCAGUUCAGCAAUUUUGGUAAAUAAAAGCAUGGGCUAUUAUUUGAAGUUUUACUGUAUUUGUUAAAUAUAGGCCUAGCCUAGAUAGGUCAUGUUACAUAUUUUGGUAAUGUUUUAUACAGUGAUGCAGGUCUACUGCUGUGAAUAGACGACAUACACAUCACCAACCAAUGUGCACUAAAUUAGACCUACACAUCACAUUAAAGAUAUGCCUAAGUAAUAGUUUAAAAAUCAAUAUGAAGUAUUCAAAUGACUAAAUAUGUUUAGCUACUAGUAAUUAUGCAGAUAACCCAGAUAUAAUUAUAUGAUAUGAUUAUAUACCAUUCAACCCAGAAAAAGUAAUAUGGCCAUUACAAUGACUCCAAAGCUGUUAAGUUAAGGUAAAUUAAGCUAAAAAACUGCAUAGUUCCCCUUAAGUUAAUAAAGUGCAACAUCUUAAGAAUUAGUUAUUAUUUCAAUAUUUCAAAUGUAAUGGAAACCUUCCACAUUCAAUUAAAAAUCAAAUGAUUAACAAAUUAACUUUCAGGAAGCAAAGAAAAAUGUGGACUUGAUAAAUAAUUUGUUAAUAUCUUGAUUUGGAAUUUACAGAGCCCCUAAGGGGACAUGAGCAAAAAAAAAAAAAAUCGAAAGUUUAGUUUCAUGUGCUCACGUGAAACUUUCAUGUGCGCACAUGAAAGUUUUAGGUGAGCACAUGAAAGUUUCAUGCGCACGCAAAACCUUUUCGCAUAAAACUUUCACGUGCGCACAUGAAACUUUCAUUCUGCUCAUGUCCCCUUAGGGGCUCCGUAGGAAUUGAAUGUGGAAUGUUUCCAUUAAAAUUAAAACAUGGUUAUAAAAACUAUUAUAAAGAUUUUGCACUUCAUUCACUUUUUCCUACACAACUGUAUGUCUAGAGCACAUUAUUGGUGCCUAAGUGGUAACUGGUAACUGUAAAAGAAUGUAUACAUUUAUUACCAUUUCAGUUCAUAGUACCAGUGUUAUUAUGAAAUACCUGCUUGUCUAUGAUUCCAAAGUCAAUCUGUCUUGUCCUUGUAUAAUUUUUUUGUUUAUUCUCAGAAUUCGAUUUAUGCACAGAAGGCUCUUUAGCCAGCUCAUUCAUUUGUAGCAGCUAUCAUUUUAGUAGUGUACCUGUGUACACGGAACUGGUUGGGUGUUGCACCUAGUGAAUGAGCAUGUUAAGAUGCUGAAGGAUUUAUGUGUGUGUGUCAAAACUGAAUAAAGUUGAAUUUGGAAUGACA